CCAGACUCCUACGGGAGGCAGCAGUGGGGAAUAUUGGGCAAUGGAGGCAACUCUUACCCAGCAAUGCCGCGUGAAUGAAGAAGGUCUUCGGAUUGUAAAGUUCUUUAAUUGGGGACGAAAAAAAUGACGGUACCCAAGGAAUAAGCCCCGGCUAACUACGUGCCAGCAGCCGCGGUAAUACGUAGGGGGCAAGCGUUGUUCGGAUUUACUGGGUGUAAAGGGCGUGCAGCCGGGAGUGCAAGUCAGAUGUGAAAUCCCGCGGCUCAACCGCGGAACUGCAUUUGAAACUGUGCUUCUUGAGUGCUGGAGAGGCAGACGGAAUUCCUAGUGUAGCGGUGAAAUGCGUAGAUAUUAGGAGGAACACCAGUGGCGAAGGCGGUCUGCUGGACAGCAACUGACGCUGAGGCGCGAAAGCGUGGGGAGCAAACAGGAUUAGAUACCCGGGUA
rnacentral:rRNA from 1 species